ACUGACUGACUGUCAGGCACUACGGAAAACAAGUAUCAUCGUCACUCAGGCAGGUAUCUGGGAUUCUUCAAAGCUUGAGGAUAUGAUGUUUGAUAAAACUUGUUAAUGAGACACCUGCAGUGACAGUUACUUGUUAAACCUGUGCAAUGAAACGUAUUUCUCCGGUGUGAUUAAGACAUGCCUUAGUAUUUAGGGCGGGAGGGACUCCCUUCAAGCCCUUCUGGACUUGUACAGUACAUCCAAACACGGGAAGUAACGUAUGACAAUGCGCUUCUUAUCUCCUGAAGCCCCACCUUAAAAACUAGUCCUACUGAGAUAUCAAAGACAAAUUUAAUUGGAAUAUCGGAGACUACUAACUGUCUAACGUCUGCGAAUCAAACGAAUAGCUGGCACGAAUUCAGGUGCAGUGUGUCUUGACCCUACAGCUGAGCCUUCCAGCAGCGGCGGCGCAAACAAGCAAAACUUGGACGUGAAGGAGCAGAAUGGAGGUGACCAAAAAAAAUUUUCAGGAGGUGCUCCCAGAUGUGGAAAAAGCAAUAGAGAAAGCAGAUUUUUUGUCCAUUGAUGCAGAGUUUACUGGGCUGCGACGGGAUGCUUCAUUUGCUUAUAGUGAACUGGACACUGCAGAAGAAAGGCGACGUGAGACUCCCUCAGCACCUUAGGAGGUAUGUCGCUGAUGAGCGCCCAGGUACACCCAUGUGGACUUCUGCUUGCUGCAAUCAUGCAUACGGCAUUUGAUUAUGACAUUGCGCAUAGAUAUGAGUUCGUGAAUGUUCAAGGAACACUUUUAUACUAAUAAAAAAAAAAAAAAAAAAAAAAAAAAAAUCACCAUGAUUUAUAACAAAAUGUUUUGUGAAAUACAUUUAAAUAAAAAUGUAAGUUUUGUGUCCUUUUACACAUGAAAUAUGCUUCGAUCAAGACUCCCUGGUAAUAUGUUUUAUUUUAUGAAGUAAUCUGUAUGUAUAUCACAUACGAAGCUCUAAUGUUUAAAAAUAGCCUUAUAAGUAAGGAUUGAAAUUUUUCCGAUACAUUUUGCUCAACGGUCGGUACAUCACAGCAUGGGGAAAUUUGAAUUGAUUUGAAAUUGGUAGUUAUCAAUAUAAAGACCAAUUCCAUUACGAAUGUUACCUAAAUGUCAGAUUUUUGAACUUCGGAUGUAUAAGCGAGAUACAGAUUAUUUCAUAUUGAAGAUAAUAGUACUCAGUAAUACCUGCUCUGAAAUAAAAACUAUGGAAUUU